GUAUUGAUUGCGUGUGAUCGCAAAUAAAAUAAAAGACAUUCUACACUGCUUCGAGUUUGUGUGAAAACGCAAGCCCCCCCUCGGAACAAGCCAAAGAGGGGACCGGCGCGGUGGUGCACAUAGGGGUGAGAUGGAUUGUGUGAGAGCACUCAGGCGUGCACGACAAAGAAGUCAGCGACAGCCCUCGUGCCUCGGUUGUACGAUAAUGAUCCUUCCGCAGGUUCACCUACGGAAA
rnacentral:misc_RNA from 1 species